AAAACGUCUUGUUAACACGUCCUACCGAAAGUACCAGCAUUGAUGAGAAAAGAGAAGAUGACAGAGGUUCGGAAAAGGGAUUACCUGGGAGUCCAGGACCUCCAGGUACAGCCAACGACGAUCUAGAAAAGGGAUUGCCUGGGAGUCCAAGAUCAGCCAAUGAUGAUGUACAAAAGGAAUCGGCCCAAAGUUGAAGAAACAUCCAAUGACAAUAUAGAGUAGCUACAAUCAUCAACACCGACUAAUCUUAAUCUUAUGCAAAAUCAGAAUUACCCUUUGACAGGUCUUUUCAAGACUCCUUAUUGUACCUAAUUUUGUACACCUUGUUGUUCUAUAUGGGUCAUAUUUUUCUAUUUGAGUGAAGUUAUUGAUUUCUCAUGUAUGAAGUUUUACUGGUAAAUGCAAAAGGGAAUCAUUGCUUUUGAA